rnacentral:tRNA from 1 species
GCUACUCUAGCUUAACGGUAAAGCCCUCCCUUGGUAUGGGAGUAGAUAAGAGUUCAAUUCUCUUGGGUAGCU